AGUGAAUUUAAGCACGUUUACCUAGCUUCUUGACGCAUUGCAAAAAUUUAGUGUCAUCCAUGUAUUAAAGAUAUUGAAUAUUUUCAAAAAUAUUGGGAGGAUCUACUCCACUGAUAAUCCAUUCAAAGUUGGCUAAUUGGAUCAUUCUACUCAAUGUAUCGGCCACUAAGAUGAAAAGCAUCGGAGAAAGAGGAUCUCUUAUUUGAGACCUCUUUUGCUUGUGAACCAUCUUCCAUUGAACCCAU
rnacentral:lncRNA from 1 species